AACGCACAUUGCGCCCGCCAGCAUCCUGGCGGGCAUGCCUGUCCGAGCGUCAUUUCAACCCUCAGGGCCCGUCCGCGGGACCUGGCGUUGGGGACCGGCCGCGCCCACGAGGCCGGCCGGCCCUGAAAUACAGUGGCGGUCACGUCGCGACCUCCCCCGCGUAGUAGAACUCACCUCGCGGCGGGAAGGCGGCGCGGCCACGCCGUGAGACCCCCUACUUCUCAAGGUUGACCUCGGAUCAGGUAGGAAUACCCGCUGAACUUAA
rnacentral:misc_RNA from 1 species